rnacentral:lncRNA from 1 species
GAGGAUUGAUUUCGUUGCGAAUCUGCGGCCAAACCAGGUGAAACAAAAUAGUAGAUUUGUUGUCUCAGUCAUGAUGAACGUAUUAGUGCGAUCCGUUCGCAAAUUUGAUGGAUGGAUCUAUUGAUAUCACGCGUUGAUCGAGGAGCGGUCCUUAAUGGCAAAACGGUAAUUUUGCGAUAAGCCCUACAUUUUAUGUACCAUUUUGCGUGAAAUCGAAAGUCAGGGUGUGUUCACGCAUUUUACUCUCGCUGUGAGGGACUCAGUUUAAAAUAUUGGGUUUUGGAGGACUUUUACGCAAAAUAGAGUUUCAUGUAUAUAUUUAGCCUUCUAGGGUUUGCACCAUGCAAACCUUAACCCUAGACCUAGCUGACCACCAGCCGCCUCCCCUCCCUCUCCCUCGUGCACCGCGCACAUCCCGGCCGCCGCCGAUAGCGCCCCGACCGGCAAACCGCCGCCGAGCCACCGCCGGCCGGACCUAAGCCCCUCUGCCCGGUGAGCUUUAAUUAUUGCUAUUUGUGCAUGGUUUUGGGUUGUGGUUGUUUUUUCGGCGAUCCGAGACUGUCUCGAUACCUUCGAAGGUAAGCACGGUGAUCGCUCGUC